GCCGGGUUAGCUCAGUUGGUAGAGCAACUGAUUUGUAAUCAGUAGGUCGUCGGUUCGAGUCCGACACUCGGCUCCA
rnacentral:tRNA from 2 species